rnacentral:rRNA from 1 species
GAUGAACGCUGGCGGCGUGCUUAACACAUGCAAGUCGAACGAAGCACUUUAUUUGAUUUCCUUCGGGACUGAUUAUUUUGUGACUGAGUGGCGGACGGGUGAGUAACGCGUGGGUAACCUGCCUUGUACAGGGGGAAAACAGUGGGAAACGGCUGCUAAUACCGCAUAAGCGCACGGCAUCGCAUGAUGCAGUGGGAAAAACUCCGGUGGUAUAAGAUGGACCCGCGUUGGUUUAGCUAGUUGGUGAGGUAACGGCCCACCAAGGCGACGAUCCAUAGCCGACCUGAGAGGGUGACCGGCCACAUUGGGACUGAGACACGGCCCAAACUCCUACGGGAGGCAGCAGUGGGGAAUAUUGCACAAUGGGCGAAAGCCUGAUGCAGCGACGCCGCGUGAGCGAAGAAGUAUUUCGGUAUGUAAAGCUCUAUCAGCAGGGAAGAUAAUGACGGUACCUGACUAAGAAGCACCGGCUAAAUACGUG